rnacentral:rRNA from 1 species
GACGAACGCUGGCGGCGUGCUUAACACAUGCAAGUCGAACGGAAAGGCCCUGCUUUUGUGGGGUGCUCGAGUGGCGAACGGGUGAGUAACACGUGAGUAACCUGCCCUUGACUUUGGGAUAACUUCAGGAAACUGGGGCUAAUACCGGAUAGGAGCUCCUGCUGCAUGGUGGGGGUUGGAAAGUUUCGGCGGUUGGGGAUGGUCUCGCGGCUUAUCAGCUUGUUGGUGGGGUAGUGGCUUACCAAGGCUUUGACGGGUAGCCGGCCUGGGAGGGUGACCGGCCACAUUGGGACUGAGAUACGGCCCAGACUCGUACGGGAGGCAGCAGUGGGGAAUAUUGCACAAUGGGCGGAAGCCUGAUGCAGCAACGCCGCGUGCGGGAUGACGGCCUUCGGGUUGUAAACCGCUUUCGCCUGUGACGAAGCGUGAGUGACGGUAAUGGGUAAAGAAGCACCGGCUAACUACGUG